rnacentral:rRNA from 1 species
UUGUUCCAAAGACUAAGCCAUGCAUGUCUAAGUCCAAGCUGUGUGUUUGUGGGUGAAAGCUCGCGCGCAUGGCGAAACCGCGGACGGCUCAUUAAAUCAGUUGUGGUCCGAAUGGGCUAGUGAUAUCUUACUUGGAUAACUGUGGUAAUUCCAGAGCUAAUACAUGCAACUUAUAGUCCUGGUGGCGUGGGCUUCGCGGCUCGCGUCGCGACGACUGCUUUUAUUAGACCAAACCGCUGACGGAUCGAGAUUGGGUUCUCUGCUCUUUCUGUUCCGAAGACUCGUGUAAUGGUGACUCUGGAUAACCAUCUAUGACAAGCGCACGUAUCCAUUAACUUGGGACGGCGCUUCCACUUACGAGUGUCUGCCUUAUCAGCUAUGUAUCGUUUAUUAUGCGCUAACGAUGGCUUUGACGGGUAACGGGGAAUCAGUGUUUGAUUCCGGAGAGGCAGCCUGAGAAACGGCUACCACGUCCAAGGACGGCAGCAGGCACGCAAAUUACCCAAUUCCAGCUACUUGGGGAGGUAGUGACGGAAUCUAACGAUGCGGGCGCUCCUUCUGGGGCCCCGCAAUCGGAAUGAGCAUUUUCUUUCUAAACACCCUGUUGAGAACCCACUGAAGGGCAAGUCUGGUGCCAGCAGCCGCGGUAAUUCCAGCUUCAGCAGCAUCUAUUAAAGUUGCUGCGGUUAAAAGGCUCGCAGUUGAAUGUCAGUACAAAGCGUAGCGAUGGUGGACGUUGGGGUGUGGGAGAGUUCCCUCGUUGUGCGGCGGUGUGCAUGUUUGAAGGCUUCGGCUUUGCCAUUACUGAGUCGCUUUCGAGUGUGUUCUCUCUCCAUCUAUAGCCCCCGUCCGUAAACAGCCUCCUCGCUUUCGUACAAAAUGGAAUCUAAUGGUUUUUUCAGAGUCAUAAGCGGCUUGGGUAUGCUGGUAGCUCGCGGGAGCUGCGCAUGUAGCGAACGCUUGUGAUCCAGUGUGCUCUUGUCCUUGUCUCAUGGAGCUUGGUUUCAAAGUUACCUUGAGUAAAUUGGAGUGCUCAAAGCAGUCGUGAGGAACGUGCGGCUCGCGCCGUACGUUCUGCAAAGAAUGUCUUAUGACAGACAGUCUUGGUUUUGCAUGGUAUGUCGAAAGACGCCGUAUCCUGUUGGUAACGAGUCUAGUGCGGGCUCGCACUUGAGGAGUGCAGGGAGGAGGGGGAUUUGUUUCUCUCUUUACUAUCUCUGUGUCUCUGAUAGCGUGACACACGGGACCAACAGGUGCGGAAUGAUUAAAAGGGCCGGUCGAAGGCAACGGUAUUGCGAGGCGAGAGGUGAAAUUCUAUGACCCCCGCAAGACCUCCUGAAGCGAAAGCGUCUGCCAAGGACGUUUUCAUUAAUCAUGAACGAAAGUUAGAGGAUCGAAGGCGAUCAGAUACCGCCCUAGUUCUAACCCUAAACGAUACCAACCAUCAAUCCGUGCGUAGCACCCUUUCUAACGGGCUCGGCGGGAAGCUCCCCCAUCACGGGAAACCAGAGUCUCUGGGUUCCGGGGGGAGUCUGGUUGCAAAGCUGAAACUUAAAGGAAUUGACGGAAAGGCACCACCAGGAGUGGAGCCUGCGGCUUAAUUUGACUCAACACGGGCCAUCUCACCAGGCCAGCACUCUUGUAUGAUUGACAGAUUGAUGGUUCUUUCUCGAUUAAGUGGAUGGUGGUGCAUGGCCGUUCUUAGUUGGUGGAGUGAUCUGUCUGGUUAAUUCCGAUAACGAACGAGACUCUCCCCUGCUAACUAGUCGGUUGGAUCUUGUGUCUGGAGAGUUGUGUCUUCACUCGCUCGUGCCUCUACGUUUAUGUGAGCCUUGGCUCGCGCUGCAGCUUGCGUGUGCUUGCGUAGUUUAACGGCUGCGUUCGCGCGCUCCUGUCUCCGGUGUGGCGCUCUCGGUGAACUUGCGUUUGGUGUCGUUGUUUGUGGAACACACUCCAAGUCCGCCGCUUAUUCAAGGUAUGCGAUGCUUUACGGUAGAGUUAUAUGUGAGUAAAACUCUUCUUAGAGGGAUUCACGGUUCUGAAACCGUAAGAAACUGAGAGCAAUAACAGGUCUGUGAUGCCCUUAGAUGUUCUGGGCCGCACGCGCGCUACAAUGCCGGGUUCAACAGGUAUUUAUCCUUCUCCGAGAGGAGUGGGUAAUCCUUUGAAAGCCCAUCAAACAAUAUUCAAAGGGAUGCGCUUACUCAGUGUACUCUCUUCCAUAGCUUGCUUGGGCCUGGGGCUUGCAAUUCUUUCCCACAAACGAGGAAUGCCUAGUAGCGGCGGAUCACUGAGUUUGUCGUGACUCAGUCCCUGCCCUUUGUACACACCGCCCGUCGCUACUACCGAUUGGGUGUACCAGUGAGAUCUUUGGACUGGC